rnacentral:rRNA from 1 species
CCUACGGGAGGCUGCAGUCGAGAAUCAUUCACAAUGGGGGAAACCCUGAUGGUGCGACGCCGCGUGGGGGAAUGAAGGUCUUCGGAUUGUAAACCCCUGUCAUGUGGGAGCAAAUUAAAAAGAUAGUACCACAAGAGGAAGAGACGGCUAACUCUGUGCCAGCAGCCGCGGUAAUACAGAGGUCUCAAGCGUUGUUCGGAAUCACUGGGCGUAAAGCGUGCGUAGGCUGUUUCGUAAGUCGUGUGUGAAAGGCGCGGGCUCAACCCGCGGACGGCACAUGAUACUGCGAGACUAGAGUAAGGGAGGGGGAACCGGAAUUCUCGGUGUAGUAGUGAAAUGCGUAGAUAUCGAGAGGAACACUCGUGGCGAAGGCGGGUUCCUGGACAUUAACUGACGCUGAGGCACGAAGGCCAGGGGAGCGAAAGGGAUUAGAUACCCUGGUAGUC